GAAAAUCUUUUUUCUCACAAAGACUACCACUCUACUAGCAGCUGCUCCAAACCUGUGAAGAUUAUGAACAGGUACAAAUCCUUACCUCUGGAGAAGACUCAAUAGAUAUUUUUUUAUUGUUACGGAAGUUUAAUACAUGUUGACAAGAUCACUGCAGACAAAUGAUCAUGAUUAGAAGCAUUUUCUUGUUUUUUAAUCACACUUUUGUACAUCAGAGCUCCAGCCUUCCUUCUGUCUGGGAUAUGAGAUGAAAAUAUUUAGAAACUAUAUUAUUAGUGAUGAAAUGGAUUGGAGUAAAAUCAUUGAUAUCAUUCUUCCAUUAAUUGAAUGAGAGAAAGAUCAUGAAGCCCUAGACAGAAGCUUAUUAUAAAUUUACAGAUAUGCUCUCUCAUCUUCAGUUACAUAAAGAUUCAUUUAAACUGAAAUGUUUGGAAGAGACUCAUUGUUUACAUGCUACAGAAGGCCAAAGGUUAAUUCAAGAAAGAGAUGAUCUAGAAUAUCUUAACCACAUAAGUAGACAUUUGGAAGAAUAAGGAGACUCAGUAAUUACAUAUUUAGAAGACAGAACAUAGAAAUCACUGAUUGCUUUUGUGGAGAAACAGCUAUUAGGAGAACAUUUUACAGCAAUUCUGCAGAAAAAGCCUGACUACUUACUUGAUGAGCACAAAGCGCUCAAUCUUCCACAGAGAAAUCAACUGUUCAGCCGGGUGAAAGGCAGGCAGAAGUUGCUGCUGUAACAUCAGAGUGAAUACAUCAAGACUUUGAGGACAACAAUUGUCACAAAUCCUGAGAAAUACAAAUAUGUGGUACAAGACCUGCUGACCUGCUGGACUUCAAGGACAAAGGGGGCCACAUGACAAAGAUUUGCUAGAAGAAUGAGAGAUUUUUCAACCUGAUGGGGUACUUCCAGAUGUUCUUCAACAGAGACCAACAAGAGACCAAAAAAGCCUGCAGACCUCAUCACAAAGUAUGUUGAUUCAAAGUUAGAAGUGAGCUAAAAAGAAACAGUGAACAAAGAGCUAGAAAGGAUCCUGGACAAGAUUAAGAUAAUAUUUAGGUUCCUUCCCAAUAAAGAUGUAUGUAUUUGAAACAUUCUAUUAAAAAAAAAUUUGACAAGAAGAUUUUUUGUUGGAAAAAUUGCCUCAGUUGAUGCUAAAAAAGCUGUGUUGUCAAAGUUCACACAUGAGUGCAAUGUGGCCUUUAGCAGCAAACUGAAACACAUGUUCAAAAACACGAAGCUUUCAAAGUACAUCAUGGUUAAUUUGAAGCAGGACGUGAAAAAUAAAAGUGAACCAGUCCCUAUAGAACUCACAGUAAAUAUUCUUAGUAUGGAAUACUGGUCAGCACCCAUGCCCAGGGAAGUACACUUAACUCAAGAAAUAAUUAAGAUUCAGGAAGUAUGUUACCAGUAAGAUAUUUUAUCUUGGAAAGCACAGUGGGCAAAAAUGUGAAUGACAGACUACAGUGGGGCAUGCUGUUUCAAAAGCAGGGUUUAAGGAAAGGAAGAAGGUGUUACAGGCAUUCUUCUUCAAGAUGUUUGUGUGUCUCAUGCUCAAUGGGGGAGGCAGAUUUAGCUUUGAGUAAAUAACUAUGGCCACUAGGAGAGAAGAUAGUGAAUUCCAGAACGUAAUAGUCUCUGUCUUAGGGAAAAGGACAUGUUCUGAUUAAAAGUCCUAAAGAAAAGAAGGUAAAAGAUGGAGAAAACUCUUCUUUAACAGAGAAUAUAAGUAGAAGUUGUUUAGAAUAAAGAUCCAUCAGAUUUAUGUGAAGAAAAUCAUUGAGGACCACAUUAUUAUCACGGGGAGAGUGUUUCAGAAUAGACAAUAUCAGAUUCUAAUAUCCAGAAUCUACAAUGAACUCAAA
rnacentral:lncRNA from 10 species